UACGUAGGUGGCGAGCGUUAUCCGGAAUUACUGGGCGUAAAGGGCGUGUAGGCGGUACUGUAAGUCAGAUGUGAAAUCUCCCGGCUCAACCGGGGGGGUGCAUCGGAUACUGCAGGACUUGAGUGAGAGAGAGGAGAGUGGAAUUCCUUGUGUAGCGGUGAAAUGCGUAGAGAUUAGGAGGAACACCAGUGGCGAAGGCGGCUUUCUGGCUCGCAACUGACGCUGAGGCGCGAAAGCGUGGGGAGCAAACAGG
rnacentral:rRNA from 1 species